rnacentral:rRNA from 1 species
AUUGAACGCUGGCGGCAGGCCUAACACAUGCAAGUCGAACGGUAACAGGAAGAAGCUUGCUUCUUUGCUGACGAGUGGCGGACGGGUGAGUAAUGUCUGGGAAACUGCCUGAUGGAGGGGGAUAACUACUGGAAACGGUAGCUAAUACCGCAUAACGUCGCAAGACCAAAGAGGGGGACCUUCGGGCCUCUUGCCAUCGGAUGUGCCCAGAUGGGAUUAGCUAGUAGGUGGGGUAACGGCUCACCUAGGCGACGAUCCCUAGCUGGUCUGAGAGGAUGACCAGCCACACUGGAACUGAGACACGGUCCAGUCUCCUACGGGAGGCAGCAGUGGGGAAUAUUGCACAAUGGGCGCAAGCCUGAUGCAGCCAUGCCGCGUGUAUGAAGAAGGCCUUCGGGUUGUAAAGUACUUUCAGCGGGGAGGAAGGGAGUAAAGUUAAUACCUUUGCUCAUUGACGUUACCCGCAGAAGAAGCACCGGCUAACUCCGUG